AGUGAGUUGCCAAAAUAUGAGAUAAUUUUGUCGGAUUAUCAAAGUAGUUGGUCCACUUCAAAUGGGCCAUUUAGCCCAUUCUUUGAUAUACACAACCAAAGAAAGAAUCCAAUUUGAUGUUCAAAGGAAAAAACCAAGAGCAAGAGAAACCGGUGACUUAGGGGUGAAAGGUGAUAAAUGUUCUUCUUUUCUCUGCAAUUUACUCUAACAAAACUUUCUCUGCAGGUGUUAUCUUCAAUUCAUUAUCAUUUUGAUGUACCUAAAUUAAUCUUAGAGUUGAUGAAAGUCUAAUUGAUGAAUGUCUGCUUGUUGUUUGACGAAAUGCCUCAUCGAAUACCAACUUCUUCUUUUUUAAUUUAUCCACGAUUUUUCUAGUUAGGUGUGAUGAAGAACACUUAUAAAAUAAUGGGUCAUGAAUUUUCUUGAUAGAAAUGCGUCCUAAUUCUUGGAAACCCACUUUAAAGAUGUGUUUCUGCUGUAAAUAUGGAUAGAGAACAAUGGGUACGCUUUAGCUAAGCAGCCAAUGAGUAUUGGGUUGCUCAUAAAGAUUCUACUAACAUUGAAGUUGUCAUUACUUACUGAUACAAAAACGAGUUUGUUUGAUAGAAAAUUACGAAUUCAAACUUUUAAGCUCAAAUACUUACUGAUAAAAAAACGAGUUUGUUUGAUAGAAAAUUACAAAUUCACAACCCAACAUGUUGAUUUGGGUUUGUUUCUUGAAAUUUGUGGAAGGAAACAUACUCUAAUCUUUAAUAAGUAGGAGGGUGUAUUUGGGAUGGAUGGAGUAUUUUCUAUUUGUGUGUUGUAUUCUUGAACCCAAAUUAUCUAUUUUGUGGGAUUGUAGUAGAACUAAUGAACUAAUACUGUGUCUUAUUGAUCAAAGGUCUCCUUUUUUUUAUGGGAAUAUGCUGAAACUAGUUUCUGAAAUGUUGUGCGCUAGAGGAGGUCAGAAGUUGAGGCCUUAUCUAUGUGUGUGCAUACAUAACUUUGGCAGGAGUGACUGAAUGUUCUAGAUUCUGCCUUGUCGACUUGAAUGGUUCUCCAAUAGGACAUGGCUAGUUAUAUCUAAGCUCCACUUGUUAAUUCUGAGGUUUCUUGUUUGUUUUAUCCAGUAGUGUGUUUGUAUAUCUUUCAAACAAAGACUCUCUUUACGUAAAAUAAAUGCAGAAGAGUGCUUAUUAACUUUCAUACAAAUGACUCUAGGGUAACAUGACUGAUGAAUGUCUCAAAUUACUGGGGAUCAGUAUGUCUUCUUGUUUCCAUACAAAGAUUGUUGGAAUGAACUCUAUUGUUUCAGAACGUCAAUUUCAUAUUGAGAUAAAGGCUCAAGUGAGUCAAGAGUUAAUUUUUCUCUAGAGAGUCUAGACUCCUAACAAAUCUACAUUCACGGACAUCCAAGUUUGAUUGUCAGCCUCAUAUAACUAGAGCCUUAAUAAUUGGAAUAGUUUUAGAGUUUUAAUAGUGGACUUAUGUAGAAACAUGUUUAAGAAAUUGUUGGACCAUGUAAAUGAGGAGUAAUUGUUGUGCAGAUCUCACAUCAAGGCAAAAGCAGUAUGACUGAGCAAUAUUUAUAUCUUUCAUUAAGACAUGUUUAAAUGAAAAACGGUUCUAAAUAGUGUCAAGUAACUGGUAAGGUACUCUCUGAUGAUAGAACCAUGUAACUAUGAAAGGGUAAAGUUGCAAAUGGUAGAUUCCGAAGAAUGUAGGUCGUUUCCAAAUUGUAAAAAAUAUUUUGUUAUUCUUAGUUGCAAUGCAUUUUAUAAUCCGGUGGAAUAAUCGUACCUUGGACAUAAAGCAUUUUGAAGCAACCAUCAUUUUGUUGAAAUCAACUCUUUAUUGUUGGUUACACUUAAUUGAGCAAUCAGUUGGUUCUCCUUUGUUCUGAGAAUGCUUAUACAUAAAAAUGCUUGUAUUAUUUAUAUAUGUGAUUGCUUAAUUGUAUAUUAUGUAUAUGUGCAUUUUUUAUGUUAACUGUAUGUGAUAUUGUACAAGGUUGCAGUGAAUUGAUGUAAAGGCAUGAUGAAUGUAUGGAUUUGGGCUUUAUAGAAAUUGGCUUUAAUAAGAAGUGCUGACCUUAUGUCUCUUUAGUUUCCUGCUGUAAUCUUUUAACCUUUGCUUCUGUAUAAUUAAUGAAGCAGAAAUGCUCUGCAGCUUCAAGAAAAAGAUAGGUUCAGACUGUGUUGAGGGAAGAGAUUGUAGAAUCGGAGUACAAAUCCUUUUUAAGCUUUUAAAUUGGAUAUUUCACAAAACUUAAAACAAAACAAGUUCAUUAAAGUUCUGAAUCCCUUGUUUAUUUUUGGCUCAGUAUGAGCUCCGAGCUCGAAGUGAUUUUUGUCCUUCAAUUAAAAUAAGGAACGAGUCUUUUGUCCGGGAAAAGAAUGAUAAAGAAUGACUUGUGAGAAAGAGAGAGAAGUGAAACACUGUUGACUCCAUAUAGCACUUGAUGUCAGCCCUGCUUACAGGCUUUUAUACUCGUGGUUUCAUUGCCACUGUUGUGCGUUUGUGCUUAUAUUUAAAAUGUGGUCUUCCUCCUCCUUUGUUUGAAUGUAUGGGCUUAUUGUUAUACCAAACAUUGUUCCCCUUUGUUUCGUGUAUUCUUGAGAAAUAUGAGGGAUGGAAAAGGGAGAAAAGAUUAGCACUCAAGUAUCACAGUGUGGUGCUUCUGUGUGUUAGCCUUGUUGAAGAAUAGGAGUUUGAAUCUUUGUGAUUUAAUUAUGUUUUUAAUUUUUUGCUUUAUAUGUUAUGACUUAUGAGUAUUUUGGCCUAUGUAAUUUCUUUCAAUCUAAGACUAUUACAUCUAUUUAGUUAAUUUAAUAUUUUUUAUUUUUAUACUUAAUGUCGCUUUUUUUACAAAAAGCGCGCGCUUCGCUUCACGCUUCUCGCUUCUGUGAAGCAAGCCCUCGUCGCUUUUUUCCGCUUUUCGCUUCCCAAAACACUGCGUAAAAUAAAUGUAGAAGAGUUCUUAUUAACUUUCAUACAAAUGACUCUUGGGUAAGAUGACUGAUGAAUGUCUCAAAUUACUAGGAAUCAGUAUGUCUUCUUGCUUCCAUACAAAGAUUGUUGGAAUGAACUCUAUUGUUUCAGAACGACAGUUUCAUAUUGAGAUAAAGGCUCAAGUGAGUCAAGAGUUAAUUUUUCUCUAGAGAGUCUAGACUCCUAAUAAAUCUACAUUCACGGACAUUGUUUCUCCUUCCGUCCAAGUUCGACUGCCAGUCUCAUAUAACUAGAGCCUUAAUAAUUGGAAUAGUUUUAGAGUUCUAAUAUUAGAGAUGUACAGACAUGUUUGAGAAAUUGCUGGACCAUGUAAUAGUGGAGUAAUUGUUGUGCAGAUCUCACAUCAAGGCAAAAGCAGUAUGACAGAGCAGUAUUUAUAUCUUCCAUUAAGACAUGUUUAAAUGAAAAACUGUUCUAAAUAGUGUCAAGUAACUGGGAAGGUACUCUGUGAUGAUAGAACCAUGUAACUAUGAAAAGGUGAAGCUGCAAAUGAUAGGUUCUGGAGAAUGUAUUCUAAAUUGUAAAGAAUAUUUUGUUAUUCUUAGUUGCAAUGCAUUUUAUAAUCCGGUGGAAUAAUUAUACCUUGGACAUAAAGCAUUUUGAAGCAACAAUUAUUUUGUUGAAUCAACUCUUUAUUGUUGGUUACACUUAGUUGAGGAAUCGGUUGGUUCUAUCUUGUUCUUAGAAUGCUUAUAUAUAAAAAUGCUUGUAUUAUUUAUAUAUGUGAUUGCUUAAUUGUAUAUUAUGUAUAUGUGCAUUUUUUAUGUUAACUGUAUGUGAUAUUGUACAAGGUUGCAGUGAAUCAGGCAAGAUGAAUGGAUGGAUUGGGCUUUAUAGAAACUGGCUUUAAUAAGAAGUGCUGACCUUAUGUCUCUCUAGUGUCCUGCUGUUAUCUUUUCACCUUUGCUUCUGUACAAUUAAUGAAACAGACAUGCGCUGCAGCUUCAAGAAAAAGAUAGGUUUGGACUGUGUUGAGGAAAGAGAUUGUAGAAUCGGAGUACAAAUCCUUUUUAAGCUUCUAGAUUGGAUAUUUCACAAAACUUGAAACAAAACAAGUUCAUUGAAGUUCUGAAUCCCUCGUUCAUUUUUGGCUCAGUAUAAGCUUAGGAAGUUCAAAUGCAGAAUUUCAGACAAGGAAGUUCAAAAACAGUUCCUCUAGUACCAGACAAGGAAGUUCACAUGCAGAAUUUCAGAAAGUCAAUUCUGCUUUUGGUCAAGAGUAUGACAAACUAGAAUAAUCAGUAGGUUCUACUUCCUACUAAUGGAAUUGAUUGAUCAAUGGCAACCAGAGUUUAUAAUUUUAUUAGGAUGAAUCUGUCUAAGUUUUUAGGGUCCAAAGUUGGUAAGGACCCACAGAAGUUCAUUAAUAAGGUCAAGAAAAUAUUUGGUGUGAUAUCAGUAACUGGUAGUUAUAUGUGAGAUAGGCAUCCUACAAACUCAAGGAUGAGACUCACAUAUGGUUCACUCAGUGGAAAGACAACAGACAUGACUUGGUCUUUUGUAACUCAGUAUAUCAGUCCAAAUCAGUAUUAGUCCAGAAACUCUCUCAGAUUCUUUCUCAAUCUUUACUCCAGUCGGUGACCCAGUUAUAGCUAGACGGUAUACAGAAAUUGUCCUAUCAGAAUCUCUCAGAAAGUCACCUCAGCAGAUCUAGUAGAGUUAGAAAUGGUAGACUUCGAUGUCAUUCUAGGUAUGGAUUGGUUACACUCAUGUUAUGCCUCAGUCGAUUGAAGAACAAGGAUUGUUCGUUUUCAAUUUCCCAACGAACCAAUAUUAGAAUAGAAGGGUAGUAGCUUAGCGCCUAUGGGUCCAUUUAUUUCUUACCUUAAGUCCAGAAAGAUGAUCUCACAGGUUACCUCGUACUCGCAGACAGCAUGACUCAGUUUGGGUGAUAGUUGAUAGGAUGACUAAGCCUUCUCGCUUUUUGGCGGUCAACACUACAUAUUCGGCAGAGGACUAUGCCAAGCUUUACCUUACUGAAAUUGUGAGGUUGCAUGGGGUUCCUUUGUCUAUCAUCUCAGAUAGAGGUCCUCAGUUUACCUCUCAUUUCUGGAAGUCAUUUCAAAAAGGUCUUGGUACUCAAGUCAACCUUAGUACAACAUUUCAUCCACAGACGGAUGGGCAGGCAGAGCGUACCAUUCAGACCUUAGAGGAUAUGUUGAGAGCUUGUGUGAUCGAUUUCAAAGGUAGUUGGGAUGAUCACCUUCCUUUUAUUGAGUUUGCCUACAAUAAUAGCUACCAUUCCAGCAUUCAGAUGGCCCCUUAUGAGGCUUUAUAUGAGCGUAGAUGUAGAUCUUCUGUUGGUUGGUUUGAAGUAGGUGAAGAAGCUUUGAUAGGGCCAGAUUUAGUCCUUUAUGCUAUGGAGAAAGUGCAACUCAUUAGAGAUAGACUUAAGACAACCCAAAGUCGUCAAAAAUCUUAUGCAUGUGUAAGGAGAAGGGAACUAGAGUUCCAAGUUGAUGAUUGGUUUCUCUACAAGUCUCACCUAUGAAAGGGGUGAUGAGAUUUGGAAAGAAAUGGAAGCUCAGUCCUAGAUAUGUAGGCCCUUACAAGAUCUUGAAAAGGAUUGGCAAGGUGGCAUAUGAGUUAGAGUUUCCAGCAAAAUUAGCAGCAGUGCAUCCGGUCUUCCACAUCUCACUCUUGAAGAAGUGCGUGGGUGACCCAGCCUCUAUAGUGCCAUUAGAGAGUGUGGCGGUGAAAUAUAAUCUUUCUUAUGAGGAUGUACCAGUUGAGAUUUUUGACUGUUAGGUUAGAAGGUUGAGAAACAAAGAAGUCGCUUCAGUCAAGGUUUUGUGGAGGAGUCAGUCCGUAGAGGGAGCUACUUGGAAAGCAGAAGCAGCCAUGAAAGACAAGUAUGCUUACCUUUUUCCUUUCGAUUCCACUCCAGCUUGAGGUAAUAGUUCCUCUUCAGUUUUACAGUCAUUCAUGCGUAAAUUCAAUUUUUGAAUCAUGUUCCCUCAAUUUGUACUUUCAUUUUUAGCGUAAUUGCACGUACUCAGAACUCAAUUCAGUCAAAACUCAGUUCUCAGUGUUUAGUAGCGGGGUUUGCAUCUCUCUCCCUCUAUUUCAGCUAGUUUAGUCUUCAUUCGAGGACGAAUGUUCCCAAGGGGGAGAUAAUGUAACACCCCGUAGCCAAAACAGCACAAAAAUUAGUUUUUUAGAAAAAUCUACAGGUGCUACCAACGGUGGCAUGAGACGGACCGUAGCCUGAACCACAGUCCGUCCUGCACAACCAUCGAUGGAAUCAGAAACUCUCAAAAAUUUCAGCCUAGAAAAGUUGUUUAAGUCUUGGACGACGGAUGGACUUACGUUCCGUAGGUCAAACGACGAUCCGAAAUCCGUAACUGUCGAUCAAGACUCCCUUCAACCACUCUCUUACAAGAGCUAUGGAUGACCAACAUGGUUCGUAGGUGGACCUACGGUCCGUAUGUGGAAAAUUUGCAGCCAUUUAAGGGGAAAUGUAGUUGGGUCAACUUAAAAUGAUCAUAACUCUUAGUAAAAAAUGAAUUAGGUCUUCCACAACCAACGCACAGAUAUAUAAUUGAAUUAUCUUUCCAUAGCCACCGACCGUUUUAAAAUCAGACCUCUGACUAAAAAGUUAUGCCCAUUUUAGUAAAGGACUGUCGAACAGGCCCUCACGACGGACCCAACGACGGGAUGUCGGGCGCACGACGGACCGUCUGUCCUGGCAGUCGUGAGGCCCGACAGCAACCUUCCCAAGGGUCUUUUUGACCUUUUCCACUUCGUUUAAACCCUAAGUUACGUCGUUUUGACCCUAAAUUAUCAGAUUUUAGUCAGUUUAAGCCUAGAAACAUAAUUAAAUCAUAUCCAAGUCAAAUCAUUAAAUCAAAACAUAGAAAAAAUAGAAGCAAGAAAGGAAAAAAAAAGCUCAAGAACCCUUGUUCAAGAACGCCACAAGUUCCAUCAGUUCCAGCCCCAAAACUUAAGUAUUUUUCCGUGGAUUUUAUCACCAAAUAUGUGGGAUUUCACUAGUGGGUUCCUUUCACCUAUUGGUUCCUUAGUUUCAAUCAGUUCUUGAUUCUUUUAUCAUGAUUAAGCCUAGGGGUUCUAGAACUUUGAUAUAACUUCAUGAAUUUAUUAAAUAUAUGUUCCAAAUUGAAUUAUCAUGUUAUUACUCAGAUUAUCGUAUGAAUUUCAAAACCCUAGCUUUGUAUUUCUUUAGUUCUUGAAUUACACAUGCUAGGUCAUAUAUUUCAGACACUUCAGAUAUACAUGUCUCAGUUAUAACUACAUAAUUACCAGAUUAAUUGUUAUAUUCUCAGUUUGCAUGUUCAGUUUUGAGCUAUCCAGUAUUUACAGAAAUAAUCAGUUAAUUUGCAGAAUUCAUUGGGAGUAGCAUAAUACCGAGUUGGACUAGGGUUUAGCGUACCCAAUAGUCCCAGAACUACUAGUCGAGUAGGUUGUAAGUCCCCUCUGUGGGCAAUCAUUUUAGUGAUCACGCCAGCAUGUCUUUAUACCUUUGGUAGGGUAUAUUGGAUCCUCUCGAUGGGGCGUACACAUCGGACUCCACAUUUAGCUCAUGUGGUUUUAUUAUCGGUUAUUAGUAGCUCCCACAGUUCAGUCAAACUCUUUGCAUUGACCAUUUAUCAGUAUAUUCAGUAUUCAGUUUCAGCAUGUUAUAAAUUGGUCAUUGCAUCCAGUUAGCUCAGAAAUCAGCACAUCACGUUCAGAUUAUUACACUUGUUUUUGUGCUUGUUCAGUUAUGUUUUAUUUCAGUUUUACUCUAUCCUACAUGCUCAGUACCUUUCAAGUACUGACGCAUAUGUGUGCUACAUCUUCUCGUGAUGUAGGUUCAGGUUCUCACCAUCCAGAUCACGCAUAGAUCGAUUUUCCGAUCUCCAGUUCAGCAGAUUUAGUGGUGAGUCCUCAUUCUCCGAGGACAACAAUCAUUAGUUUUAUUUCAGUCUUUAGUCAUUUAGUUUCAGUUUUUGCUAGAUAAAACUGGGGCUUGUCCCAGUAUUUCUAGUCUAGUUUAGAGGCUAUUUUCAGACAUAGUUAGAUUCAGCUGUAUUAAACUCAUUGUUUUCAAAUAUCUCAGUUAUAGAAUAUGGGUAUUCCCCAUCUUUUCAUUUUA
rnacentral:lncRNA from 1 species